AGGAAAUGAAAAUUCCCUUCCCUUCCUUGAGUAAGUAAUUGGGUAAAAAAUCCCCCUCCAAACUUUUCCCGAAUAAGAAAUUACAUAUAAAAUCGUCACAUACCCUCCCCAAAUAAGAAAAAUCCCAAGGACCCCGUCUCCAAGCAGAUUUCUGCCAUCCCUAAAUCUGCGGUGAAGACAAUCAAAUAAAAAUAUGGAAUUCUUACACUCACGGUAAAGAAAUAGAAAUGGAAUUUUGAAAUGAAGCAUGACAAUAUAACAUCAUCUUUUAUUUGGCCAAAAAUAAUCAACAGAAACUGAUAUCUCCAUAGAGCAAAAGUGAGAUAAAUCCUGGAAUCUCACCAAAGUGAUUUUAUUAUGGCCGUUCUUGAUGAUGUACUUAUGAUGCAAUAGAAAAACAUUACACAUGGCUUGUGGAAAAAUGGAAUUCAAGAAUGAAAUGUGACCCAAAAUAAAGGUUCUAAGAUUCCUUCAAAACUGGCUUGUGGAAAAAUAGAAUUCAAGAAUCAAAUGUGAUCAUACCCAAAAUAAAGGUUCUAAGAUUCCUUCAAACUGGCAAGAAGAAGUUUCAUGAAAGAAUUGAAGCUUAGCCAUCAAUUAUUUGGCAAUGCAUUAAAGCAAACCUAAAAAGAUCCAUACUUCCAUCUGAUGAUCGACCCGUGUCUAAUUUACCACAAAAAAG
rnacentral:lncRNA from 1 species